rnacentral:tRNA from 1 species
GCCUGGGUGGCUCAGUCGGUUGAGCGCCUGACUUCAGCUCAGGUAAUGAUCUCAUGGUUUGUGGGUUCGAACCCCGCAUUGGGCU